CCUACGUGUGGCAGCAGUGGGGAAUAUUGCGCAAUGGGCGCAAGCCUGACGCAGCGACGCCGCGUGAGGGAUGAAGGUCUUCGGAUCGUAAACCUCUGUCAGCAGGGAAGAACGGUCACUGUGCUAAUCAGCAGUGAAUAGACGGUACCUGCAAAGGAAGCACCGGCUAACUCCGUGCCAGCAGCCGCGGUAAUACGGAGGGUGCGAGCGGUAAUCGGAAUUACUGGGCGUAAAGCGCUCGUAGGCGGUAUGUCAAGUCAAGGGUGAAAUCCCCGCGCUCAACGUGGGAACUGCCUUUGAAACUGGCAAACUUGAGUGUGUGAGAGGUAAGUGGAAUUCCAGGUGUAGGAGUGAAAUCCGUAGAUAUCUGGAAGAACAUCAGUGGCGAAGGCGACUAUCUGGCACAUAACUGACGCUGAGGAGCGAAAGCGUGGGUAGCAAACAGGAUUAGAUACCCCUGUAGUC
rnacentral:rRNA from 1 species